GUCGGUAUGCAUGCUGCGCCUCUGCUUUGGUAAAACCUCUUUGAAGAAUCCCUAACUUUGUGAGAAGGCUCCCUGGCUGCAGCAAGGUCUACUUCUACAGAAUUUCUAUCAUUUCUUUGCAGCUCUGGCAAGUAAGGCCGUGGGAUCUGGAUCUGAGUGUCUGAGAUCUGAGACACUCAGCAAAGGAAGUCUCCACAGGCGGUGGCAGCUCUGGAAUUUCCCACAGCCACUCCUCCAACAAGCUUUGUUGAUGGUGUUGCCUCUGUUCGCCUGCCUAGGAUUUAAGGCAAAAGAAGCCCACAGUUCAGAGCAGAUACAGCUAAAUUAAACUUCUGUAUGGCCAAAUAGCCCAGUGAAAACAAAAUCAGAGAAAACUGAGCUCCAGGUCUAAAUUAAAACAAAUGAAGAUUGAUGGUGAAUGUAGCAAAAAUGGGUAAAUCAUUUAUCUAUCUAUCUAUCGCCUAUUUAUCUAUUUUUAAUUCCAGCAUAAUUAACAUAUAGUGUUACAUUAGUUUCAGGUGUACAAUAUAGUGAUUCAGCAAUUCUGUACAUUACUCAGUGUUCAUCAUGGUAAGUGUACUCUUAAUCCCCUUCACCUAUUUCACCCAUGUCCCCUCUGUUACCAUCAGUUUGUUCUCUGUAGUUAAGAGUUUGUUUUUAAGUUUGUCUUUUUUUCUUCGCUUGCUUGUUUUGUUUCUUAAAUUCCAGGUAUGAAUGAAAUCAUAUGGUAUUUGUUUUCUUUGACUUCUUUCACUUAGCAUUAUACCCUUUAGAUCCAUCCGUGUUGUUGCAAAUGGCAAGAUUUCAUUCUUUUUUAUGGCUCAGUAACAUUCUCAAAAUCUUAAAAACACAUUGUUAAGUAAAAAAAGCAAAUUGCAGAAGGCGAUAUGCAAUAUGGUGCUACUUUUUAUAAAAGGUGAAAAUGUUCAUUUAUGUAGAUUUUGUUUAGAAAUGCAUACAUAUAUUCUCAAGCUAUAAAAACAUGCAUGGGAUGAUAAACACCAAAUUCAUGGUAGUGGUUACUUGAAGGGAAGGAUGAUGGACAGUGGGAUUGGGGGAGGUAGUGCCAGGAAUUUUGUCUGCAUCUGAAAUAUUUUAAUUGUGUAAAAAAAUUCUGACGAAAGUGCUCAGGCAAAUAAGGAAAAUGUUAAAAUUUGACUUGGCUGUAUAAUGGGCACCUGGAAGUUCAUUCUAUGGUUCCUCAUAAUUUUUUUAUAUUCUGGAUGCACCUCACUAUUCACACAAAAGG